rnacentral:rRNA from 1 species
GGUGGACGCUGGCGGCGUGCCUAAUACAUGCAAGUCGAGCGAACGGACGAGAAGCUUGCUUUUCUGAUGUUAGCGGCGGACGGGUGAGUAACACGUGGAUAACCUACCUAUAAGACUGGGAUAACUUCGGGAAACCGGAGCUAAUACCGGAUAAUAUUUUGAACCGCAUGGUUCAAAAGUGAAAGACGGUCUUGCUGUCACUUAUAGAUGGAUCCGCGCUGCAUUAGCUAGUUGGUAAGGUAACGGCUUACCAAGGCAACGAUGCAUAGCCGACCUGAGAGGGUGAUCGGCCACACUGGAACUGAGACACGGUCCAGACUCCUACGGGAGGCAGCAGUAGGGAAUCUUCCGCAAUGGGCGAAAGCCUGACGGAGCAACGCCGCGUGAGUGAUGAAGGUCUUCGGAUCGUAAAACUCUGUUAUUAGGGAAGAACAUAUGUGUAAGUAACUGUGCACAUCUUGACGGUACCUAAUCAGAAAGUCACGGCUAACUACGUG